CAUCCCAAGAGUUUGUGAGGAUGGUAGUUAGAAAAAUGUUCCUUAUAAACUGCCUACAUUGAUAUUGAACAACUAGGAGAUAAUAAAUAAGGAACCUGGGAUGCUAUGCUUAUAGUCACAUCUCAAGAGUAGAAGAUGGCUUGUGACUUAUGUUGUAGAGAAGAAUGACUGAAAUGACUAUUUGGAAUUAUUCUGGAAUUAGGCUAGAAUGAGGUCUCCUCUGCCAAUCUAAGGGCCUCGUUCCACAAACACACGUGGGAGAAACUUUACUUAUAUGAAUAGUUCACUUGAGAUCAACUGGGACUAGUCACG